UACAGAGGUCUCAAGCGUUGUUCGGAUUCAUUGGGCGUAAAGGGUGCGUAGGCGGCGCGGUAAGUCGGGUGUGAAAUCUCGGAGCUUAACUCCGAAACUGCAUUCGAUACUGCCGUGCUUGAGGACUGGAGAGGAGACUGGAAUUCCUGGUGUAGCGGUGAAAUGCGCAGAUAUCAGGAGGAACACCGGUGGCGAAGGCGGGUCUCUGGGCCGUAACUGACGCUGAGGAGCGAAAGCCGUGGGGAGCGAACAGG
rnacentral:rRNA from 1 species